rnacentral:rRNA from 1 species
AACGAACGCUGGCGGCAUGCCUAAUACAUGCAAGUCGAACGAGACCUUCGAGUCUAGUGGCGCACGGGUGCGUAACCCGUGGGAACCUGCCCUUAGGUUGGGUAUACCUCCCCGAUAGGGGCGCUAAUAGGGGAUAAUGUCUAAGGCCCAAUGAUUUAUUACCUUGUGAUGGGCACGCGUUGGAUUAGCUAGUUCGUCAGAUAAAAGCCUACCAAGGCGAUGAUACAUAGCUGGUCUGAGAGCAUGACCAGCCACACUAGGACAGGGACACGUCGCGAACACCUGCAAGAGGAAGCAGGUCUGAAUAGUGGACGAAGCGCGAAGGCCUGAGCCAGCAAUACCGCGUAAGUUAUGUAGGCCUGAGGAUAGUAGGGGUCAGUUACCCGGGAUGAUAAUGACAGUACCGAAAGAAUAAGCGACGGCUAACUCCGUG